UACGUAGGGGGGCAAGCGUUGUCCGGAAUCAUUGGGCGUAAAGCGCGCGUAGGCGGCCCGGUAAGUCCGUUGUGAAAAGUCAAAGGCUCAACCUUUGAACGCCGAUGGAUACUGCCGGGCUAGAGUCCGGAAGAGGCGAGUGGAAUUCCUGGUGUAGCGGUGGAAUGCGCAGAUAUCAGGAGGAACACCAAUAGCGAAGGCAGCUCGCUGGGACGGUACUGACGCUGAGGCGCGAAAGCGUGGGGAGCGAACAGG
rnacentral:rRNA from 1 species